UACGAAGGGGGCUAGCGUUGUUCGGAAUUACUGGGCGUAAAGGGCGCGCAGGCGGCUCUUCAAGUCAGAUGUGAAAGCCCCGGGCUCAACCUGGGAACUGCAUUUGAGACUGGAGAGCUCGAGUUCGGGAGAGGAGAGCGGAAUUCCCAGUGUAGAGGUGAAAUUCGUAGAUAUUGGGAGGAACACCAGUGGCGAAGGCGGCGAUCUGGGAAGAUACUGACGCUGAGGUGCGAAAGCGUGGGGAGCAAACAGG
rnacentral:rRNA from 1 species